UCCGCCCCAAGCCAGCCCCCAUUCACCCUCAGAGCCCCCAACCCUCGUUCAAAGCUUAUUUCCUUGAGAGUUUGAAGCAUUAUUGUGUGUUCUUGAAGGUUUUGAGAAGGAAGUGGUGUAGAUCAAGAGGAAGGGAAGGAAACCAAGCAUCUUAGUGUUCUCUCAGUGAUUCCUUUGAGGUACCUCUUCAGCCAAGGGGAAGGAGCAGGCGCGGUAGCGGCUCAUCACACACACACACCCUUUGAUUCCGCAUUUAUGAGUUUACCCUGGGAUUGAUACUCUGACAUUUUGGUUGUUUAACUGUUAUGGAUUUCAAAUUCAGUUCUCGAUGUGAAAUGGUUUAAUUAAGCAAUGUUUUAAUUAUUAAUGUUUUCUAAAGUAAUGUUUUAAAAACGAGAUUUUUGGA